ACCCCACUGACCUAUCUUUAGGACCACAGUAUAAAAGGACACAAAUUCACACCACAAUCAGCAAUCUACUCUAGCACUCCAUAGUGUUCACUUCAGCAAGGCUUUACGCUUAACAGAAAAUCUUUUUUUCAAAACCGUUCAUGAUGAAGGCUGUUAUUUGUGUACUUCUUGCUUGCAUUCUUGCUGUGGCUUAUGCCCAGGUCUCAACAAGCACUAGUGGAGGAGCCAGCUCAUCACCAAUGGGUUCAAUGUUCUCUUCCAGAGGUGGAAUGCCAAACCAAAUGCUCUAUAUGGCUGCACUUGGUGGAAACGAAAAUGCUCGCUUAAUGCUUCAAUGCAGCAUGAUGAACAUACCCUGGUUUUUGUGUAUGAGAACCAUGUCUUAAGAUGAACCUUGAUGACUUGGACAGAUCGGGGCUGGACCCUUUAUCUUUACGGCCUUAAAAUCCAAAACUGUUACAUGAGAUUUGGUAUCAGUGUUGACCACCAACAAUGCGUCAAGUUCCUCUUUAGAACUCUUCAACAAUCGAGACUUUCAUUACAUAUCAGUUAUCUUUUGUUAAAUAAAAGUGUGCAUCAUUUUUCCAUUAAAAUAACAUGCAUCAUUUAAAUUAUUAUUAGUGUGAAUAAAAAAAAAACAAACUCUCAUUACAUCUACAGAUUUUCAUAUUAAACAUAGGUCAGUUCAUAUUAAAUAUAGGUCAGACUGAAUAAAGUCUUGUUUUGUUAUUGUUUCUAUUUAUUUAUAACAAAAUAAAUUAUUAUGAAAACUGACAAAA